CAAAAACAUGUCUUUUUGUUUAUUAUUUAAAGUCUGACCUGCCCACUGAGAAUUUAAAUGGCCGCAGUAUUUUAACUGUGCAAAGGUAGCAUAAUCAUUAGUCUUUUAAUUGAAGGCUUGUAUGAAUGGUUGGACGAAGUAUAUGCUGUAUCAAGUAAAUUUAUAAUAGAAUUUUAUUUUUUAGUGAAAAAGCUAAAAUUUGAUUUAAAGACGAGAAGACCCUAUAGAUUUUUAUAUUUGCUUAUAUUAAUAGUGUGUAGAUUUUUAUACUUUUAAUUUAAUUAAAUAUUUUGUUGGGGUGACAUUAAAAUUUAUAAAACUUUUAUUAUUUUAUUACAUUUAUUUAUGAUUUUUUGAUCCAUUAUUAGUGAUUAUAAGUUUAAAUUACCUUAGGGAUAACAGCGUAAUUUUCUUGGAGAGUUCAUAUCGAUAAGAAAGAUUGCGACCUCGAUGUUGGAUUAAAAUAAAUAUUGGGUGUAGAAGUUCAAUAUAUUAAGUCUGUUCGACUUUUAAUUUUUUACAUGAUCU
rnacentral:rRNA from 1 species